rnacentral:rRNA from 1 species
ACAGCAGUCGCCGCGGGAAUACGUAGGGUGCGAGCGUUAAUCGGAAUUACUGGGCGUAAAGCGUGCGCAGGCGGUUUUGUAAGACAGGCGUGAAAUCCCCGGGCUCAACCUGGGAAUGGCGCUUGUGACUGCAGAGCUAGAGUGCGGCAGAGGGGGAUGGAAUUCCGCGUGUAGCAGUGAAAUGCGUAGAUAUGCGGAGGAACACCGAUGGCGAAGGCAAUCCCCUGGGCCUGCACUGACGCUCAUGCACGAAAGCGUGGGGAGCAAACAGGAUUAGAUACCCCUGUAGUCCCUGUCUCUUAUAC